GUUGCAUUGUUUGGUGCAGCAGCACCGCUGAGAGUUUGGUACAGUGGAUUCCCGAUCCGCUACACCAAACAGCCACAACUCUCAUAAUUCAUAAAGGUCUCUCUACAGUACUCCGUCAGUUGCGUCUCCCUAUAGCCUAUAAGUCUGGUUUUAGACUUUUAGGAAACCUUAGAUUUCCUUGUGUCUGCGGCCAAACAACGCUUUCUUCUUACGCCAUGUAAAUCGACAAAGUUCACUCUACUCGGUCGUCUCUCCAUAAUCCGUACUCUGGUGUUGCAGAUGGUUCUUCGGCCUAGUACCGCAUGGGCGGCGAUGAUCUCUCCGGAAGAGGAUCUCGAGAUUGUCCUGCUAGUGGCCAACGUUUGCCCUCUGUUACAGUGCCCAUCCACGAUGCUCUCGGCAUGGUUUUGGUGGAGGAUAUUCGUGCGCCUGAUCCUUUGCCUACUUAAGCGGCUUCAAUCAAGGUAAACCCUACAAGUUUCAGUCAAGGUUGGUUAUGAUAUCAUUGCUUCCAAUGGUCCCGGUGAAUACCCUGUGAUAACUAAAUCAAGAGCUGGAAAUGAUGGAUUUGGGUGUCACCGUCACUCUUGGGAAUGUUACAUAUGUAACCACCGGAGGGAAGCCUUUUGACAUUCGUGGAGGUGACCAUAAAAUCGGGAGACGAUAUUGUAUUGUGGCAAAGAAGAUUCUUGCGUUUGGACUAUUCAGUCAGCUGUAUAGUUGGUUUCCUUCUCUUCGUUGUCCCCGCUGUCCGCUGUCUUUCUGGAUGGGCUAACCCUCAUCCCUCAAGGAAGCUAGAAAAACAUUCAUCUCUCUCACCUGCUUCAAUUGCUAUUCAUGUAAUGUAUAAUUAUGCUCAUUGCUGAUGGUCCUCCAUUUCUUCCUCUAUUUCAUAUAGAGUACAGAAUUUCAUCGUGCUAUCAUUAAAUGCAAGGUCAAUGAUGUAGCAAGCAGGUCUGGGUAAGAUGUUCAGGCAUUGUCUUUCGGAUCAUGGAAUUCUGAGUGAUUCUUAUUAGGAGUUGAA